rnacentral:tRNA from 1 species
GGGGGUUUAACUCAAUUGGUAGAGUAGCGGGCUUUUAACCCGAAAGUUAUGGGUUCGAUCCCCAUAGCCCCCACUA